rnacentral:lncRNA from 1 species
CGAAUUGAAGGCUGCUGAUCUUUGCUAGUCCAACACUUGGAUAGCUGCUCCUUCAGGUUGCUCACAGCUACAUAAAGAUGUCUGGCCUCUACAAAUCGUCCACACGAAGAUCGGUGUAGAACAAGCUUUUUGGAAGUGCUAGCUUGCAAGGAUCUUUAAGGUUGAUUUCUUCCUUCUUCUUCACAACUCUUAGAUGCUCCAAAAGAAGAGAGAAUCUGGAGGAGGAAG